GGACGAACGCUGGCGGCGUGCUUAACACAUGCAAGUCGAGCGGUAAGGCCCUUUCGGGGGUACGACGAGCGGCGAACGGGUGAGUAACACGUGGGUGACCUGCCCUCAGCUCUGGGAUAAGCCUGGGAAACCGGGUCUAAUACUGGAUAUGACUCCAUGACGCAUGUUGUGGGGUGGAAAGCCUUGUGCGGCUGAGGAUGGGCCCGCGGCCUAUCAGCUUGUUGGUGGGGUGANGGCCUACCAAGGCGACGACGGGUAGCCGGCCUGAGAGGGCGACCGGCCACACUGGGACUGAGACACGGCCCAGACUCCUACGGGAGGCAGCAGUGGGGAAUCUUGCGCAAUGGGCGAAAGCCUGACGCAGCGACGCCGCGUGAGGGAUGACGGCCUCGGUUGUAA
rnacentral:rRNA from 1 species